UACAGAGGGUGCUAGCGUUAAUCGGAUUUACUGGGCGUAAAGCGUGUGUAGGCGGUUUGUUAAGUCGGGUGUGAAAUCCCUGGGCUCAACCUGGGAAUUGCAUUCGAUACUGGCAAGCUAGAGUACGGUAGAGGGCGGCGGAAUUCCGGGUGUAGCGGUGAAAUGCGUAGAUAUCAAGAGGAACACCUGAGGUGAAGACGGGUUGCUGGGCCAACACUGACGCUGAUGCGCGAAAGCCAGGGGAGCAAACGGG
rnacentral:rRNA from 1 species